UUGUUGCCUUUUCUCUCCCUCCGCGGCCCUGGCAACCACUGUUAGCUCGGCGGAGACGGACUUCCCGGCCCUUGUCUCGGGGCGCAGCUGAAGACCGAGCCUCCGAUCGCACACUGCCAGCGCUCUGCCUUCCGCCAGCGGAGCCACCCCUGCGGGCCCCAGCCUUCCUCAAGGGCGUGCGUGUCGGGAUGCGGAGACCUGGCCCUGAGGAGACUCCACACCCAGAGGGGACUGUGGCGCUCGGGAGGCCCCCCGAGCUGAGGAGGCCUCGCCUGGCUGCUGCCUGAGCAGGCCCCGCGUCGCCCGCGGAGCUGUUGGUCUCCGAAGUCCGGCCUUCCGAGAACAACGCUCUCUUGAAGUCCCCACCUUUGCCUUUGUUGGGGCCCAGCGCAGUUUGAAGACUGUCGCCGGCGGCUUGGAGAGAGGAGUGACAUGAAAAAGGAACAGAAAACAGUCUUUAGUUUUGCUGAAAGGGGAAUUUUUUUUCCCAGUUGUUGGUUAUGAUUUGAAGACGAGCACCUAGAGACUGAAGAGCUUAGAUUCUUCUAGAGGUACAGAUACACUUGGGAAAAGGAAGAUUUUGAAAUACUUUAAAAAGAUAUUUGAAAUGAAGGCAGAAAUUUUGAUCAUGUUUGUCAGCCAUGUAGGACUUUGAACAACUAUUUAGAAUAUUUUCCUUCCCAAAAUGGAAGAAGAAACAAUUCACAGACCAAGACUCUGAGAGAAAUAAGAAAUAAUAAAGUUUGCUCACCCUGAGAAGGACAAUAUUUUAUCAUCUUUUCUUUGGUAACAAACAGAAACAUACCUUGUAUGUGUGGUGAGUUAAUAAGGAUGGUUUUUUUAUGCUACAUACUACAAACAGCUUUAUUUAAAUUUUGGGAUUUUUUUUCUCUUUUUCCCGUGAUUUUAUAUGUUAUUUAGAUUAAGUAAAGAAAAUAAAUGCUGGAUUCAUGGUAUUUUCUGACUACACUGCUAUUUUCUGUGCAUUAUGGAAACAUUGGAGGCACUCAUAUUCCUUGAAGUUUUAUUUUAUUGGAUGCAAAACUGCUGGGGACACAGAUAUGAUGUAAGUUUUCCUUUCAUAGCAACGUUCUUUGCUUUGGAUGAGCUGAAUAUCAUCUGGAUUUCACAGCCUAUGAGGUAUAAAAUCUGUUUUAUCUAGAUCUUUAAUAUAUAAUUUGUAAUAACCAGAUGAGAAACAUAUUAAACACUGUGUUGAACAUGUAUGCCUAAGGAAAGAUCUUCCUGAUGGAUCAUGGCUUUAUUGUUUACAGGACAUUUCCUAUUUUUAGCGAUGAUGUUUAGUUUUUCUACUUGCGAAGAGACUAUGAGCAAUUACUCUGGAUGGGCAGUUUUCACAGAUGGUAUACAACAGUUUAAGAAUCAGAAAUUAGAAGAUUUCAGAUCUAACCAAAAACUUCAUCCAAAUUUGUAUUUUGAUGCUGGAGAUGUACAAACAAUGAGACAAAAUUCUCGUACAAGCCAUUUGCAUCUUUUUAGAGCUAUCAGAAGUGCAGUGACAAUUAUGCUGUCUAAUCCAACAUACUACCUACCUCCACCCAAGCAUGCUGAUUUUGCUGCCAAGUGGAAUGAAAUAUAUGGUAAUAAUCUUCCUCCUUUAGCACUGUAUUGUUUAUUAUGUCCAGAAGACAAAGUUGCCUUUGAAUUUAUCUUGGAAUACAUGGACAGGAUGGUUAGCUACAAAGACUGGUUAGUUGAGAAUGCACCAGGAGAUGAGGUUCCAGUUGGCCAUUCUUUAACAGGCUUUGCCACUGCCUUUGACUUUUUGUAUAAUCUGUUAGGUAAUCAGCGAAAACAAAAAUACCUAGAAAAAAUACGGAUUGUUACUGAGGAAAUGUAUGAAUAUUCAAAGAUUCGCUCAUGGGGCAAACAACUUCUUCAUAACCACCAAGCUACAAAUAUGAUAGCAUUGCUCAUAGGUGCAUUGGUUACUGGAGUAGAUAAAGGAUCUAAAACACAUAUAUGGAAGCAAGAUGUUGUUGAUGUUAUGGAAAAAACUAUGUUUCUCUUGAAUCAUAUUGUUGAUGGCUCUUUGGAUGAAGGUGUAGCCUAUGGAAGCUAUACCUCAAAAUCACUUACACAGUAUGUUUUCUUGGCACAACGCCAUUUUAACAUCAACAACUUGGAUAAUAACUGGUUAAAAAUGCACUUUUGGUUUUAUUAUGCUACACUUUUACCAGGCUAUCAAAGAACUAUAGGUGUAGCAGAUUCCAAUUAUAAUUGGUUUUAUGGUCCAGAGAGCCAGCUAGUGUUCUUGGAUAAGUUCAUUUUAAGAAAUGGAGCUGGAAAUUGGUUAGCUCAGCAAAUUAGAAAGCAUCGACCUAAGGAUGGACCAAUGGUUCCUUCCACUUCCCAAAGGUGGAGUACUCUUCAUACUGAAUACAUCUGGUAUGAUCCAAAGCUUAUCCCACAGCCUCCUGUUGACUUUGGCACAGCUAAAAUGCACACAUUUCCUAACUGGGGUGUUGUGACAUAUGGGGCUGGACUGCCAAGUACACAGGCCAAUACCUUUGUGUCCUUUAAAUCUGGGAAACUGGGAGGACGAGCUGUGUAUGACAUAGUUCACUUUCAGCCGUAUUCCUGGAUUGAUGGAUGGAGAAGCUUUAACCCAGGACAUGAACAUCCAGAUCAAAAUUCAUUUACUUUUGCCCCCAAUGGACAAGUAUUUGUUUCUGAGGCUCUUUAUGGACCAAAGUUAAGCCACCUUAACAAUGUGUUGGUAUUUGCACCAUCACCAUCAAGCCAGUGUAAUAAACCUUGGGAAGGUCAGCUGGGAGAAUGUGCACAGUGGCUCAAAUGGACUGGUGAAGAGGUUGGUGAUGCAGCUGGGGAAGUUAUUACUGCUUCACAACAUGGAGAAAUGAUGUUUGUAAGUGGGGAAGCAGUGGCUGCUUAUUCUUCAGCAAUGAGACUAAAAAGUGUCUAUCGUGCUUUACUUCUCUUAAAUUCUCAAACUCUACUUGUUGUUGACCACAUUGAAAGGCAGGAAACAUCCCCAAUAAAUUCUGUCAGUGCCUUCUUUCAUAAUUUGGAUAUUGAUUUUAAAUACAUCCCAUACAGGUUUAUGAAUAGGUAUAAUGGUGCCAUGAUGGAUGUGUGGGAUGCACACUAUAAAAUGUUUUGGUUUGAUCAUCAUGGUAACACUCCUGUGGCUAAUAUACAGGAAGCAGAACAAGCUGCUGAGUUUAAGAAAAGGUGGACUCAGUUUGUUAAUGUUACAUUUCAUAUGGAAUCCACAAUCACAAGAAUUGCUUAUGUAUUUUAUGGUCCAUAUAUAAAUGUUUCUAGCUGCAAAUUUAUUGACAGUUCUAGUUCUGGACUUCAGAUUUCUCUAAAUGUCAAUAAUACCGAACAUAGUGUUUCUGUUAUAACUGACUAUCAAAAUCUGAAAAGGAGAUUUGAUUACCUGGGAUUUGGAGGUUUUGCCAGUGUGGCUAAUCAAGGCCAAAUAACCCGAUUUGGUUUAGGGACUCAAGCAAUAGUAAACCCUAUAAGACAUGAUAAAGUUAUUUUCCAUUUUGGAUUUAAAUUUAAUAUAGUAGUUGGAUUCAUUUUGUGUAUUUGUUUGGUUAUUUUAACUUUUCAGUGGCGGUUCUACUUUUCUUUUAGAAAGUUAAUGCGCUGUGUAUUAAUACUUGUUAUUGCUUUGUGGUUUAUUGAGUUUCUGGAUGUGUGGAGCACUUGUACUCAGCCGAUUUGUGCAAAAUGGACAAGGGCUGAAACCAAGACAAAUGAGAAGACCAUAAUCUCUGAAGGGAAGCAUGUAGAUCUGCCUGAUGUUGUUAUUACUUCACUCCCUGGUUCAGGAGCUGAAAUUCUGAAACAAGUUUUUUUCAACAGUAGUGAUUUUCUCUACAUCAGAAUACCUACAGCCUACAUUGAUAUUCCUGAAACUGAAUUUGAAAUUGACUCAUUUGUAGAUGCUUGUGAAUGGAAAGUAUCAGAUAUCCGCACUGGGCAUUUUCAUCUUCUUCGAGGGUGGCUGCUGUCUUUGGUCCAGGACACAAAAUUUCAUUUGCAAAAUAUUCAUCUUCGUGAAACAGGUAGGAAUAAACUUGCUCAAUAUUUUGCAGCUAAUAAGGACAAAAAACAAAAAUUGAAAAGGAGAGAGUCUUUGCCGGAACAAAGAAGUAAAAUGAAAGGAGCUUUUGAUAGAGAUACUGAAUAUAUUAGAUCCUUGAGGAGACACCUAGUUUAUUACCCAAGUGCUCGUCCUGUGCUCAGUUUAAGUAGUGGAAGCUGGACAUUGAAGCUUCGUUUUUUUCAGGAAGUUUUAGGAACUUCAAUGCGGGCUUUGUACAUAGUACGAGACCCUCGAGCCUGGAUCUAUUCAAUGCUAUAUGGUAGUAAACCAAGUCUUUAUUCUUUGAAAAAUGUACCAGACCACUUAGCAAAAUUGUUUAAAAUAGAGGAAGGUAAAAGCAAAUGUAACUUAAAUUCAGGCUAUGCUUUUGAGUAUGAAUCACUGAAGAAAGAAUUAGAAACAUCCCAGUCAAAUACUGUCUCUUUACUAUCUCAUUUGUGGCUAGCAAACACUGCAGCAGCUUUGAGAAUAAAUACAGAUUUGCUGCCUACCAAUUACCAGCUGGUGAAGUUUGAAGAUAUUGUUCAAUUUCCUCAGAAGACUACAGAAAGAAUUUUUGCAUUCCUUGGAAUUCCUUUGUCUCCUUCUAGUUUAAACCAAAUACUGUUUGCCACUUCCACAAACCUUUUUUAUCUUCCUUUUGAGGGGGAAAUAUCUCCAUCUAAUACUAAUAUUUGGAAACAAAACUUGCCUAGAGAUGAAAUUAAAAUAAUUGAAAAUAUCUGCUGGACACUGAUGGAUCGUCUAGGAUAUCCAAAAUUUAUGGACUAAAUGCUGCAGGUCAGCAAAAAUUUGCACUAAUAUAUCCCAACCUACUUUGUGGCUAUUAACUAGAUAAUUUUGUUUAUUCUUGUACAAGUGUGUAUGUAUGUGUGGGGAGAGUGUGUGUGUUCAGUCUGUUAUUUGCACAGAAAGAUACUUUAAAAAAUAAGCAGCAUAUUUGGCCUCGUAGGAUUUAUUUUUAUGUUACCACUUUCCUUGCCUUGAUUUCUGAAUUUUUUUCUGCUAAAAUGUUUGUGGUACAAAAGUAUAUAUUAUGGUAUCUGGGAAGAUAGGAAGAUUUUAAUGGACUUUAACUUACCUUCUUUGAUAACUGUGCUAAUCUGUCUUGGCACCUAAGACACUAUGAAAGGCCUUGCAAUUGCUGCUUUGCCCAGUCAUCUCUUGCUCUUAAAAAUAGGUUCGUUAUCUUUUGAAAAGGUCUUCUAACACAAAGAAAAAAAUGAAAUAAAAAAAUGAAUUUCUUGUACUUUGUAUAAUGUUCUCUGAAAUCACUGGGGAAAUGAUAAAGAUUUCUAUUAGAACUUUCAGAAAAUAUAGACAAAGAUAUAGACUAUAAGCUUUUUUUUCUUUUCUUACUCAAGAAAUAAGAUUGUGAACAGAGCAUGUUGAAAUUCAGUGUGUUAUUUUGGAAAUGCUCUCUUCAAAAGCUUUUAUUUGCCUGCCUGAAACUAUCACUCUUCACCGUCAUACCAUGACCACCUUAUCUAGCCUUUCUGUCAUUUUCAAAAAACAGGUAGUUGUUAGUAACUACAAAACAGCUUAGUGAUAAAGCUGUUCCAACAGCCCCUUCCCCUGAUGAUUAAUUUUGUAUUAAAGACUAACACAGACUUAAAAUCAAAUUUAGUUUUGUGGUGUUACCACUCUGACUCAAAGAAAAGAGGAGAAGUCUUCUGACAGCGGUGGUCAUUCACUGUUGUUGCAGGUGGAGUGGGUGGUGCUGGCAUGGCUGGGUGCUAGAAACAGAAUUAGAAAGCCUUGUCCUGUAUCCUCUGAAUUUAUAGGCUGCCAGUGUCUGCAAAAUUUGAAGCCAAUUGAGAGAUGAUGUUAGAGGCAUCUGUUCCCUUUACCAUCUGCAUCUUAUAAAUGUAGCGAACAUAAAAUGUUCACUCAUUUUGCUUGGUAGUUUCUGAAUCAAAAAUGCUAUGUUAUUAUAGGCCAGUGGGAUAAUUACAAUGUGCUACAUGAACAUUACCAGCAUUGGGAUUUGGUGAGAGUCUAUGCAGAUUGCAGUUUUCUUCCUGAUGUUUCAAACUAGUUUCCUCAAGUUCUCUAACAUUUGGAUUCUGUCACUCUGAUCUAGAUAAAAGCAGUUCUUUCUCAGUAGUUUGUUGUUUUAUUUAAAUGAUAAAAUUUUAUUGGAGUGAUAAAGCUGUACAUAUGUUACUUUUUAGCUGAAUCUAACUUAGCUGUUAUUUCUUUUCUUCUAUUAUGGCAUGAGUGAAACUGUUACAUGUCCCUUACAUUUGUUUUUGCUCCACAGGACUCAUAAUUUUCCCUUCAUAUUAAAAUGAAUAAAAAUCAAUAUAGAUUGAAGACUCAAAUCUACAUUUAUAUUUUGAAGGAGGAUUACUCUUAUCUCAGGUUUUUCAGCAAAUGUCCAUGUAAAAUCACUACAUGGAUGAUAACACUAUUUCCAUUAUUGGUCAGAGUCUCCCUGCUAUUAGUUUUCAGAAUAUGAUCUUAAGUCAGAGCAAGUAGAAAAGCACUGGGGUGGAAAAGCAUUACAUCAUACUAAGGUGAGAAUUAGAAAUGGGUACAGGCACAGAAAAAACAGUGCAAGCUACUUCUGCAUAUUGUACAGAAAUGCACCCUUGUGCAGAAGGUGGUAAGUAGAUUAUGUGGAGGAAAACAGGAAGAAGAGAUUUAGAAAAUAGACUGAGUGAUUUUUGAGAAGGGAUAUGGGAAUGUUUUACUGAUAAAUCAUAGUGGAACAUAGCUUUGAACUCCACAGAGCAAUUUAGAGCUAAUCAUCCUCACCUCAGAGAAAAUGUAAGACAUCAGCCAUUUUCAUAGUGAUUUCCAUAAUGGAAGUUUGAAGAUAACUCUGAAGAUCCCCUCAGAAGAGUAUUGUGUGGGGGAAAGGAAUCCACUGAAUUUGCCUGCUUAUGCUAAUGCCUAAGACCUGCUGCCUUACAAUUUGAGUACUUAAGAAGCAGAACCCAUUGCACCACUGAUACUUAGUUUGUGAUGUGCAUCUACAGGGGUUGCAUGUUGUUUGGAAAUCAACUCUUUUCUCAGAAAAAUAUUAUGCACUUCUAUAGAACCGGAAUUAGCAGCCCAAACUCUCCUCUCAAGGAGAUGCUUGAUACACAAUCCUUUGGCCACUGGGUGCUGAUUCCAUAAUGGGGUAGCUCACAUGAUGCCUAUUUAGCUAAAGAAAUGCAUGGAAUCUGAUUUCAAUAUAGAGUGGUCUUCAGAUGGCAUAUAUUUCCUAUAUUUUGAUAUAUAAGAUUUUCAUUAUUUUUAUUAUAUUGUAUGUUAAGUUAUGAUUAUUAGUUUCUUUAAUAUAGUAGCCCUAUUAAUUAUUUUUCUAUUAUUUUGAUAAGCUUAUAAUAAAGAUAAUUUUAGUACUUGGAAUGGUUUUGGAAUUCAACUUAAUGGUUCUGUAUAGUCAAUGGUUAGGAAGUAUCAUUUAUUCAUGGAAAAACAUAUGUGUGGGUGUAGUGUGCUCUAUGUAUUCCUUAAGAUAGUUCUAUAGGCCAAGUCACUUUAGUCCUGACUCCUAGGACAAUUUUUAAAUUGUGUAUAUUAUUAUAAACACAUAUUUACUCACUAAUAUGUGUGUUUACAUUUCCAUGAGAUAAAAAAUCUUGAGACAGUAUGAAAAGCUAUAUCUAGCAACAUUAUAAUCAAAUAGAUGUUCACCCAUCAAACUUUAAAGAAAAAUAUUGUUAGAGAGAAAAAGAGCCUGUCCACAUAUAUUUGUUUUCUAAUUAUGUUGUUAAAAAUACUCAAUGGACUUUGCCUGUGUUUCCUUGUAUUUUCAUAAAGUUUUCCUUCAUAUAUUUGUAUUUCUGUUGAUUUACUUUUAUUUUCUUUUCAUUUCUAUUAGUUAAAAUCAGGGAUGAAAUGGCUGAAUUGAACGUUUAUGUGUAUUUUUAACAUCCAGUUUAAUUAGUUUUGACCUAUGGCCACACAUUCUCAGAGACAAUUCUUAUUAAACAGAACACAGUAAUUUAAGUGGCCACUCUUUUUGCUUUAGACUUAGGAAAGUGAUGAAAGCCAAUCUCUUUUCCUUUGGAAGAAUCCUGAUGGCUCAGAGGCAAUAAAUUAUUUUAUCUGUUUAAAAAAAGGGCAGGCAACAGCUCCAUCAAUCCCUCUUACUCAGUCCCUUAUGGAAUACAGGAUGCCAGGGAAGUCAUCAGAUUCGCAUGACUAUUCUUUGCACACAAAGGCUCUUUUUCUCUCUAAGAAUAUUUUUCUUUAAAGUUUGAUGGGUCUACAUUUAUUUGAUUAUAAUGUUGCUAGAUAUAGCUUUUCAUACUGUCUCAAGAUUUUUUAUCUCAUGGAAAUGUAAACACACAUAUUAGUGAGUAAAUAUGUUUGUGCAUGUGCACAUAUGUAAGCAUAUGAAUGGAGGCAAGAGCUCAGACUUAUGUGUCAUUAUUAUUCAGAAUCCAUAUUCCCUAUUUUUUGAAACCCAGUCUAUCUUUUAACACCUGAAACUAGCCUGUUUGGCCAGAUUGGUUGACCAGUGUGCUUAAGGGAUUUUCAUGACUCUACAUCAUACUGGCUAGGAUUACAGGUGCAUACUUGAUUUUUUAUAUGGAUGCUGGGGAUUGAAGUCAGAUCCUCAUGGUAACUGCAUAAACACAUUAUCUACAGAGUUAACUCCCCGAGAGAAUUUAAAUUUUUUCUACUUCAUGUAUUGGUAAAUUAUUACAUCUGUUGAAUGCAUGCUUUUAAUAUAAUUGGGGACAUUUUUGUCCACUAAAUUUCCUCUGUAUGUUUUCUUUUAUUCUUCUAGAAUUAAAUUUGCAUGAUGUUAGUCUUUUGUUUGAAAGGAUAAAUUUGCCAAGCUCAAGCUCCAAAGUCUACAUACUCUGUUGUUUACAGCGAUUGAAAAUAAUUAAAAUCUAUAGCCCUGUCUGGUGUUUGGGAUCACUAUCAUGGUUUCAGAAUCUAACAGAAAUCUUCUCAGAUUCUGUUUCCACCCCCCUCUCUUUCUCUCUCUCAGUAUUUUCCUUUUCCUCCAUUUCUAGUUCUCUUACUUCAGUGGAAGGCUUGAUAUAUGGCUUUAAGUUUCCUCAAAAAGUAAAACAUAGAUUCCUUGUCAACUUAUAGUGGCUGUGUACAACAAACUUACUGGCUGAGGCAUUUUCAGACAAAAUGUAUUUAUUUAUUAAAGUUAUUAUAAAAGUGAACAGAAUUGUCUUAACUUUUCCAUUUAUGUAUUUUUGGAGUAUGUAUUAAUUUGUAUACUGUACCAUCUAAUUAGGAGUCUUCAGUCUACUAGAUAAUAAAUACAGUAAAAUCUUUAAAAAUGAAGAAGUAUAGAGUUGAAUGGGAUCUUCUUACCUUGUCUGGGUAGGUAAAAAAUUCUACCAAUAGCCAAGUGUUUUUUUUUAUUGUCAUAUAAUUAAUGGCAUAUGAUAGUAACAAAAAGUUCUGAAAUUACUUCAGUGCUUAUUAUUAAACAAAGACACAUAAUACCCAAGUGAUCGUGCAUGUAAUUUAUUUUACAUUAUCUUAUACUACAAAUAUAUUUAAAUCCAAAUAUUUCAUGAACAUCAGAAUUUCUGUAAAGUAAUGGGCACGUAUUAUGAAUGUAAGGCUGGAAAUCUACUAUCCAUAGCUUUAAACUUGAUUGGAAAAAUUGUGGUUUCUAUCAAGAUUUAUUCAUACUAGCUACAAAGUAGAGAAAAUAUUUCUUUUCCAUCAUUUCUCCUGUUUCUUGAAAUGUCAAGGUUUUCUUACUAGCAGCACCCUCUGGAUGUUAUUCAGCAGCUUUUCUUUUGACUGCACUGCGAUGAUACUUCAGGAACCUUGAAAAGAAACUCAGAUCCCAGGAUCCAAUUUCAAACAGUCUUUUACAGUACAGAAAAAGAAAAUCUACAGAUUAAAGACAAGUGGAAAUCUCUCAAAUGGUUUGGGGAGGGUUUGGUAUGCUAAUGAACUCUUUAUACCAUUUAUAGGCCACUAGGCAUUGAGAAUUGAGACUCAUACACCUUCAAAUAGAUUCCAGUUAAACAAGUAUCCUUAAAGUAUACACACGUUCAGUAAAGAUCUGGCUUAAUACUAAAUGAAACAGAAACAAUCCCAGGUCUUUCUUAACUAUAUGACUUACAUUUUAUGUUUUUCUUGGUCAUUAAUAGAAAUAAGAAUAACACCCUACAAAUAAUUAAAUAAUAGAACUACUUAGUAUGUAUUCUUUCCCAAACAGAUUAUUAUUGAAUAGUUAAUAUUCUGCCUGGAGCAGUACCAUAAUGGUACACGACUUUAAUGGUGGUAUAUGACUUCAACCCCAGCAUUCAGAAGACAGAGGCAGGCAGAUGUCUGUGAGUUCAAGGCCUCCCUGGUCUACAAGAACUAGUUGCAAAGCAGGUUCCAAACCUACAGAGAAACCCUGUCUUAAAAAACCAAAAACCAAACAAAAACAAAAAAAAAUCUGCCCAAAUUUUCAAUAAAGGCAAGUUUUUCUUAGCAUUUUUAUUUUAAUUAUGGCUUGUAAUCACUACAACACUGUGGUCAUAAGACAUUGUGAUUCUAUAAUGUAUUUUGGAAAUAAUUAUAUGGGAGUCUCUUAAAAACCAAAGUAAAAAAUUUCAGACAAUGACA